rnacentral:tRNA from 1 species
UCUAAGGAUGAGUGAAAGUAAAAUUUCAUUCUAAAUAAUAUACAUCGGUAAUGUUGACCGUCCUCAUUUCUCUUCUUAAAGUAAUGUUUCCUUCUUGUAGGGCCGGUAGCUCAGUUGGUUAGAGCACACCCUUGAUAAGGGUGGGGUCGAAAGUUCGAGUCUUUCUCGGCCCACCAUACUUAACUGGGGGAUUAGCUCAGCUGGGAGAGCGCCUGAUUUGCAUUCAGGAGGUCAGCGGUUCGAUCCCGCUAUCCUCCACCAGGAAACAUUUAGUUAUAAAAAUCGUUAAUAAAUUUAAUAAUUAAUAUCAAUAUCUAUAUCCGAACAUUAGUAAUGUUAUUAGCUAAUGUUCAAAAUAAAAAUUUGAUUCAACAUAGAAAAAUUUUUUUCUG